CUAUACAUGCAAGUCGAGCGGACAGAUGGGAGCUUGCUCCCUGAUGUUAGCGGCGGACGGGUGAGUAACACGUGGGUAACCUGCCUGUAAGACUGGGAUAACUCCGGGAAACCGGGGCUAAUACCGGAUGGUUGUCUGAACCGCAUGGUUCAGACAUAAAAGGUGGCUUCGGCUACCACUUACAGAUGGACCCGCGGCGCAUUAGCUAGUUGGUGAGGUAACGGCUCACCAAGGCGACGAUGCGUAGCCGACCUGAGAGGGUGAUCGGCCACACUGGGACUGAGACACGGCCCAGACUCCUACGGGAGGCAGCAGUAGGGAAUCUUCCGCAAUGGACGAAAGUCUGACGGAGCAACGCCGCGUGAGUGAUGAAGGUUUUCGGAUCGUAAAGCUCUGUUGUUAGGGAAGAACAAGUGCCGUUCAAAUAGGGCGGCACCUUGACGGUACCUAACCAGAAAGCCACGGCUAACUACGUGCCAGCAGCCGCGGUAAUACGUAGGUGGCAAGCGUUGUCCGGAAUUAUUGGGCGUAAAGGGCUCGCAGGCGGUUUCUUAAGUCUGAUGUGAAAGCCCCCGGCUCAACCGGGGAGGGUCAUUGGAAACUGGGGAACUUGAGUGCAGAAGAGGAGAGUGGAAUUCCACGUGUAGCGGUGAAAUGCGUAGAGAUGUGGAGGAACACCAGUGGCGAAGGCGACUCUCUGGUCUGUAACUGACGCUGAGGAGCGAAAGCGUGGGGAGCGAACAGGAUUAGAUACCCUGGUAGUCCACGCCGUAAACGAUGAGUGCUAAGUGUUAGGGGGUUUCCGCCCCUUAGUGCUGCAGCUAACGCAUUAAGCACUCCGCCUGGGGAGUACGGUCGCAAGACUGAAACUCAAAGGAAUUGACGGGGGCCCGCACAAGCGGUGGAGCAUGUGGUUUAAUUCGAAGCAACGCGAAGAACCUUACCAGGUCUUGACAUCCUCUGACAAUCCUAGAGAUAGGACGUCCCCUUCGGGGGCAGAGUGACAGGUGGUGCAUGGUUGUCGUCAGCUCGUGUCGUGAGAUGUUGGGUUAAGUCCCGCAACGAGCGCAACCCUUGAUCUUAGUUGCCAGCAUUCAGUUGGGCACUCUAAGGUGACUGCCGGUGACAAACCGAAGGAAGGUGGGGAUGACGUCAAAUCAUCAUGCCCCUUAUGACCUGGGC
rnacentral:rRNA from 1 species